rnacentral:rRNA from 1 species
UGGGGAAUAUUGCACAAUGGGCGAAAGCCUGAUGCAGCAACGCCGCGUGAGUGAUGAAGGUCUUCGGAUUGUAAAGCUCUGUCUUUUGGGACGAUAAUGACGGUACCAAAGGAGGAAGCCACGGCUAACUACGUGCCAGCAGCCGCGGUAAUACGUAGGUGGCGAGCGUUGUCCGGAUUUACUGGGCGUAAAGGGUGCGUAGGCGGAUGUUUAAGUGAGAUGUGAAAUACCCGGGCUUAACUUGGGUGCUGCAUUUCAAACUGGAUAUCUAGAGUGCAGGAGAGGAGAAUGGAAUCCCUAGUGUAGCGGUGAAAUGCGUAGAGAUUAGGAAGAACACCAGUGGCGAAGGCGAUUCUCUGGACUGUAACUGACGCUGAGGCACGAAAGCGUGGGUAGCAAACAGGAUUAGAUACCCUGGUAGUCCACGCCGUAAACGAUGAGUACUAGGUGUAGGAGGUAUCGACCCCUUCUGUGCCGCAGUAAACACAUUAAGUACUCCGCCUGGGAAGUACGAUCGCAAGAUUAAAACUCUAAAGUGAAUUGA